rnacentral:rRNA from 1 species
AUACAGAGGGUGCGAGCGUUAAUCGGAAUUACUGGGCGUAAAGCGCGCGUAGGCGGUUAUUUAAGUCAGAUGUGAAAUCCCUGGGCUCAACCUAGGAACUGCAUCUGAAACUGGGUAACUAGAGUUUAGGAGAGGGGAGUAGAAUUUCGGGUGUAGCGGUGAAAUGCAUAGAGAUCCGAAGGAAUACCAGUGGCGAAGGCGACUCCCUGGCCUAGAACUGACGCUGAGGUGCGAAAGCGUGGGUAGCAAACGGGAGUAGAAACCCUAGUAGUCC